AUUUUCCUGUUUAACUAGUACUUUACACUGAGCCACAUGAGCAAUUCCCUGGCAAGGGAAGGGAAAAGUUCCUCGUGGGCAGCUUGAAGUGCAGCACUUGGGCAGUGAGGCUGAUGUGACAUUUAGAAAUUACAUUUUAUGGUACUUGGUCGAUUCAGAAGCUUACCAGGCUGUGGAGGAAGUGACUAACUCCUGAGCAGGCAGCCAUGGACCUGGUGAGAGAUUUCAGGAAAGAAGGGAACAGAAACCAAACCAACACCCUGCCACCAAAACCCCAUGCCCAAGACUUUAAUCUGACAAUUCCUCCCAAGCAAGGGUGAUUCAGAUACCAGCUCCUUUUUAGCUAACCACCAAACUUCAGUGGUUUGGAUAAAAGGGAACCGUGGUCUGACUCAUCCUGAGUUACUAUUUGGUUGGCAAAGCCAUGCAUGCAGGAUUUUCUGAAGUCAAAAAAUCCCUGCUUGUCUGCCAGAAUUACCACAACUUGUCCUGCUUUCAGAAAAAGACCGUCUGCCAUGUGAUAUUUUGACUGAUAAAUUUAAUGUGGUAGUGAUUAAACUGUGCAUUGUCAGUUUUCUUUGUGUUUAGUUGUUGUUUUUUUUUUUUUUUUACUGAGAGAUCUGCCUGUGAAGAGGCAGCAGCUAUUUUUUUCCAUAAUUGCAUCUGUUUCAGAGAGCAGACAGAUGUUGGACUGAAAUUCAUUAUGGUAUUCAUAAACCCCAUUGGGAUCUGAUGACCUAGUAACAUAUAGCUACUGUUCCUUGCAAAGUGCUUCAAAGUGUUCUUACUUUGAAUGAAGAAAUAAAUUUGCAGAAG
rnacentral:lncRNA from 1 species